rnacentral:rRNA from 1 species
UUAAGCGACUAAGCGUACACGGUGGAUGCCCUGGCAGUCAGAGGCGAUGAAGGACGUGCUAAUCUGCGAAAAGCGUCGGUAAGGUGAUAUGAACCGUUAUAACCGGCGAUGUCCGAAUGGGGAAACCCAGUGCAAUUCGUUGCACUAUCGUUAACUGAAUACAUAGGUUAACGAGGCGAACCGGGGGAACUGAAACAUCUAAGUACCCCGAGGAAAAGAAAUCAACCGAGAUUCCCCCAGUAGCGGCGAGCGAACGGGGAGCAGCCCAGAGUCUGAAUCAGCUUGUGUGUUAGUGGAACGGUCUGGAAAGUCCGACGGUACAGGGUGAUAGUCCCGUACACCAAAAUGCACAGGUUGUGAACUCGAAGAGUAGGGCGGGACACGUGGUAUCCUGUCUGAAUAUGGGGGGACCAUCCUCCAAGGCUAAAUACUCCUGACUGACCGAUAGUGAACCAGUACCGUGAGGGAAAGGCGAAAAGAACCCCGGCGAGGGGAGUGAAAAAGAACCUGAAACCGUGUACGUACAAGCAGUGGGAGCACCUUCGGGUGUGACUGCGUACCUUUUGUAUAAUGGGUCAGCGACUUAUAUUCUGUAGCAAGGUUAACCGUAUAGGGGAGCCGCAGGGAAACCGAGUCUUAACUGGGCGUUAAGUUGCAGGGUAUAGACCCGAAACCCGGUGAUCUAGCCAUGGGCAGGUUGAAGGUUGGGUAACACUAACUGGAGGACCGAACCGACUAAUGUUGAAAAAUUAGCGGAUGACUUGUGGCUGGGGGUGAAAGGCCAAUCAAACCGGGAGAUAGCUGGUUCUCCCCGAAAGCUAUUUAGGUAGCGCCUCGUGAAUUCAUCUUCGGGGGUAGAGCACUGUUUCGGCUAGGGGGUCAUCCCGACUUACCAACCCGAUGCAAACUACGAAUACCGAAGAAUGUUAUCACGGGAGACACACGGCGGGUGCUAACGUCCGUCGUGAAGAGGGAAACAACCCAGACCGCCAGCUAAGGUCCCAAAGUCAUGGUUAAGUGGGAAACGAUGUGGGAAGGCACAGACAGCCAGGAUGUUGGCUUAGAAGCAGCCAUCAUUUAAAGAAAGCGUAAUAGCUCACUGGUCGAGUCGGCCUGCGCGGAAGAUGUAACGGGGCUAAACCAUGCACCGAAGCUGCGGCAGCGACACUAUGUGUUGUUGGGUAGGGGAGCGUUCUGUAAGCCUGCGAAGGUGUGCUGUGAGGCAUGCUGGAGGUAUCAGAAGUGCGAAUGCUGACAUAAGUAACGAUAAAGCGGGUGAAAAGCCCGCUCGCCGGAAGACCAAGGGUUCCUGUCCAACGUUAAUCGGGGCAGGGUGAGUCGACCCCUAAGGCGAGGCCGAAAGGCGUAGUCGAUGGGAAACAGGUUAAUAUUCCUGUACUUGGUGUUACUGCGAAGGGGGGACGGAGAAGGCUAUGUUAGCCGGGCGACGGUUGUCCCGGUUUAAGCAUGUAGGCUGGUUGUCCAGGCAAAUCCGGAUAAUCAAGGCUGAGGUGUGAUGACGAGGCACUACGGUGCUGAAGUAACAAAUGCCCUGCUUCCAGGAAAAGCCUCUAAGCAUCAGGUAACAUCAAAUCGUACCCCAAACCGACACAGGUGGUCAGGUAGAGAAUACCAAGGCGCUUGAGAGAACUCGGGUGAAGGAACUAGGCAAAAUGGUGCCGUAACUUCGGGAGAAGGCACGCUGGUGUGUAGGUGAAGUCCCUGCGGAUGGAGCUGAGACCAGUCGAAGAUACCAGCUGGCUGCAACUGUUUAUUAAAAACACAGCACUGUGCAAACACGAAAGUGGACGUAUACGGUGUGACGCCUGCCCGGUGCCGGAAGGUUAAUUGAUGGGGUUAUCCGUAAGGAGAAGCUCUUGAUCGAAGCCCCGGUAAACGGCGGCCGUAACUAUAACGGUCCUAAGGUAGCGAAAUUCCUUGUCGGGUAAGUUCCGACCUGCACGAAUGGCGUAAUGAUGGCCAGGCUGUCUCCACCCGAGACUCAGUGAAAUUGAACUCGCUGUGAAGAUGCAGUGUACCCGCGGCAAGACGGAAAGACCCCGUGAACCUUUACUAUAGCUUGACACUGAACAUUGAGCCUUGAUGUGUAGGAUAGGUGGGAGGCUUUGAAGCGUGGACGCCAGUCUGCGUGGAGCCAACCUUGAAAUACCACCCUUUAAUGUUUGAUGUUCUAACGUUGGCCCCUGACCGGGGUUGCGGACAGUGUCUGGUGGGUAGUUUGACUGGGGCGGUCUCCUCCCAAAGCGUAACGGAGGAGCACGAAGGUUAGCUAAUCCUGGUCGGACAUCAGGAGGUUAGUGCAAUGGCAUAAGCUAGCUUGACUGCGAGCGUGACGGCGCGAGCAGGUGCGAAAGCAGGUCAUAGUGAUCCGGUGGUUCUGAAUGGAAGGGCCAUCGCUCAACGGAUAAAAGGUACUCCGGGGAUAACAGGCUGAUACCGCCCAAGAGUUCAUAUCGACGGCGGUGUUUGGCACCUCGAUGUCGGCUCAUCACAUCCUGGGGCUGAAGUAGGUCCCAAGGGUAUGGCUGUUCGCCAUUUAAAGUGGUACGCGAGCUGGGUUUAGAACGUCGUGAGACAGUUCGGUCCCUAUCUGCCGUGGGCGCUGGAGAAUUGAGGGGGGCUGCUCCUAGUACGAGAGGACCGGAGUGGACGCAUCACUGGUGUUCGGGUUGUCAUGCCAAUGGCACUGCCCGGUAGCUAAAUGCGGAAGAGAUAAGUGCUGAAAGCAUCUAAGCACGAAACUUGCCCCGAGAUGAGUUCUCCCUGAGACUAUAAGUCUCCUGAAGGAACGUUAAAGACGAUGACGUUGAUAGGCCGGGUGUGUAAGCGCAGCGAUGCGUUGAGCUAACCGGUACUAAUGAACCGUGAGGCUUAACCUU